rnacentral:rRNA from 1 species
GUAGGGAAUAUUGGGCAAUGGAGGCAACUCUGACCCAGCCAUGCCGCGUGCAGGAUGACGGCCCUCUGGGUUGUAAACUGCUUAUAUACGGGAAGAAAAAAUACUACGUGUAGUAUACUGACGGUACCGUAAGAAUAAGGAUCGGCUAACUCCGUGCCAGCAGCCGCGGUAAUACGGAGGAUCCAAGCGUUGUCCGGAUUUAUUGGGUUUAAAGGGUGCGUAGGCGGAUCUUUAAGUCAGUGGUGAAAGCCUGCAGCUUAACUGUAGAAUUGCCAUUGAAACUGAAGAUCUUGAAUGUGGUUAAAGUAGGCGGAAUGUAUCAUGUAGCGGUGAAAUGCUUAGAUAUGAUACAGAACACCGAUAGCGAAGGCAGCUUGCUGAACCAUUAUUGACGCUGAGGCACGAAAGCGUGGGGAGCGAACAGGAUUAGAUACCCCAGUAGUCC